rnacentral:rRNA from 1 species
UAAGACGUAGGAUCCGAGCGUUGUCCGGAGUUACUGGGCGUAAAGCGCGCGCAGGCGGACACGCGCAUCGGCGGUGAAAGCCCCCCGCUCAACGGGGGAGGGUCCGUCGAGAUGGCGUGUCUGGAGGCAGGGAGAGGCCAGUGGAAUUCCGGGUGUAGUGGUGAAAUGCGUAGAGAUCCGGAGGAACACCAGUGGCGAAGGCGGCUGGCUGGACCUGACCUGACGCUGAGGCGCGAAGGCGUGGGGAGCGAACGGGAUUAGAUACCCCGGUAGUCCACGCAGUAAACGAUGGGUACUAGGUGUGGCGGGAGUUGACCCCUGCCGUGCCGGCGCUAACGCAGUAAGUACCCCGCCUGGGGAGUACGGCCGCAAGGCUA